rnacentral:rRNA from 1 species
UACGAAGGGGGCUAGCGUUGCUCGGAAUGACUGGGCGUAAAGGGCGCGUAGGCGGAUGGCACAGUCAGAUGUGAAAUUCCCGGGCUUAACCUGGGGGCUGCAUUUGAUACGUGUGAUCUGGAGUGAGGAAGAGGGUCGUGGAAUUCCCAGUGUAGAGGUGAAAUUCGUAGAUAUUGGGAAGAACACCGGUGGCGAAGGCGGCGACCUGGUCCUUGACUGACGCUGAGUGAGCGAAAGCCAGGGGAGCAAACGGG